rnacentral:rRNA from 1 species
ACCACAGCCAUGUCACUCUGCAGGCCAAGACUGGAUCCUCACUGAAGCGAAGUACGGCUGAACCUGGUCAGUACCUACAUGGUAGACCACAUGGGAAAACUAGGCUGCUGGUGGAA